GCGGACGGCGACCACGAGCUCUUCAUCCGCGGUAAUCGGAUUAUAUGGAGUAAUGGCUCUCGAGUUCACAAAAGAUACGCUUUUCCAAACACAGUCAUAAUGGCCUGCUGGUGUCGUAUGGAGGCACUUAGUGAUGCCCUUUUGUGCGUUCUUCAAGUUGAUACUUUAUCUAUAUAUGAUGUAACUGGUAAG